rnacentral:rRNA from 1 species
UAUUUUGACUAUGCGAAGGUAUUGAAAUAAGGCUUUAAAUGAGUGCUAAGAGAAUGGUUUAACAAUUAUAAGCUUUCUUUAAUUAAAAAAUUAAAUUUAAUUUUUUUGUGAAGAAGCAAAAAUUUAAAUUAGGGACAAGAAGACCCUAUGAAUUUUAUAUUAAAUAAUAUAAUUUUAAUUAAAUUAUAUUAUUUGAAUUAAUUGGGGUGAUUUAAAAAGAAUAUAUAUCUUUUUAAAAAGUUAAUUUGUUCCGUUUUUAACGAUUUUAUGAAAAAAAUA